CUAAGGUGUGUUGGGAGAAGUAAGUCUAAGGAAUUCGGCAAAUUAGCGGCUUAUCUUUGGUAUGCGCCGUGCCUAUUGCUCCGGCUAAGCCGGAAACAGUAGGUUUCAAUAACAAGGGGGGUCCGACUGUUUAACAAAAACGUAGGGGGCUGCUAGGUGGAAACGCUUUGUAUAGCCCCUGAGGCCUGGCCAGUGCUGGUCGGUUAAGCCUGGGUUCAACCAGGUGAAGCCCCAGUAAACGCCGGCGGUAACUCUGACCGUCUUAAGGUAGCGUAAAGCUGCCUGCUGGUAUUAGGCUAGCAGUGCAACCGCGUAAUCCCUUGCCGAUUAAUUAUCGGCCUGCAUGAAUGGCUUAACGAGACCCCCACUGUCUCGGACUUAUUCUCAGUGAACUGACUUGUCCUGUGCAUAAGCAGGAGUCCCUCAGCGGGAUGAGAAGACCCCGUUGAACUUUACUACAGUCUGUUGUUGUGGUAUGGGAACGGUUACAUAGAGUAGAUGGGAGACUUCGAAGCUGGGAUUUCGGUUCCAGUGGAGUCGAAAGUGUAACACCAUCUUUUCGUUUCCAUACUGCUUAUCUCUAGGGAAACAGCAGCAGAUGGGUAGUUUGCCUGGGGCGGGACGCCUCUGAUAAAGGAUCAGAGGUGCCCUAAGAUUUCCUCAUCAGGGUCAGAAAUCCUGAGUAGAGUGCAAGGGUAAAAGGAAGUCUGAUAGGAUUCUGGACAAUAAGGAAUCCUAACGCGAAAGCGCGGCCUAGCGAUCCGCAGUG
rnacentral:rRNA from 1 species